UAGGGAAUAUUGGACAAUGGGGGCAACCCUGAUCCAGCCAUGCCGCGUGAGUGAAGAAGGCCCUCGGGUUGUAAAGCUCUUUUGUCCGGAAAGAAAAGCAUUCGGUGAAUACCCGGAUGUUCUGACGGUACCGGAAGAAUAAGCACCGGCUAACUUCGUGCCAGCAGCCGCGGUAAUACGAAGGGUGCAAGCGUUACUCGGAAUUACUGGGCGUAACGCGUGCGUAGGUGGUUGUUUAAGUCUGAUGUGAAAGCCCUGGGCUCAACCUGGGAAGGGCAUUGGAAACUGGGCAGCUAGAGUGCGGUAGAGGGUAGUGGAAUUCCCGGUGUAGCAGUGAAAUGCGUAGAGAUCGGGAGGAACAUCUGUGGCGAAGGCGACUGCCUGGACCAGCACUGACACUGAGGCACGAAAGCGUGGGGAGCAAACA
rnacentral:rRNA from 1 species